rnacentral:lncRNA from 1 species
UGUCAGCUUGAGUAGAGGUUGGGAUUAGGAUUGAGGAUGAUCCAGGAAGAGCAAAACAUCAGAGGAAGCGGUGUUGGGAAUUGUGUAGCAUUCUGGCUCGUGAAUGGACACAAAGAGCAUCUUUUUGCCAGGAAGGGCAGUGCCAUAUGCACCUUGUGCUUCUGGGGUUCAGCUUGGCAGGAGCAGCAGACAGCCCGGGCCUGUCCCAGCUCCCUGUCCGGGGCAGUGUGUCUUCCCCAUCCAUAACCAUUCAGGCACCGUGUCGGGAAAUCCUAACUCUCACAUCUCUCAGCAUGUAGAUUUGCUGGAAAUGCGGUCUCCCCUGCGCUGCCCUGUGAGUGGGAGAGCAGGAGGGGUGGGGAGGGAAGAGCAGCAGUCUGAGUCUUCUCAUCAACGGCUCUAAGAGACCCCGUAAUCUCUUCAGAGUCUGCCCGUGUGGUAUAGCACUGACAGUUCUGGGGUCUGACCACGUGUCCUGGUGGCACGUAGAGGUUGGCAGUAGGAAAGGUAUUUUUAACCAUGCGGUGCCUUCUGCCUCCUCUCCUCAUCAGUUUGGAGCCAGUUUCAGCAGCAGUGCUGUCUCUAGCAGCACAGUGCUAAGCUUAAACCCCCUGCAGGCUGUUGCCAGCACCUCGUCCUCAUCCUUCCCACCCCCCUCCUCUAAUUUAGUAACAUCUAGCGAGAAUAGAGCCGCUCAGCACCUCAACAGAGCGCCAGUGCAAUCUGUUUUCCAUCCUCCUCCGCCCCCUCCUAACGUUUCCUUGCCCCCACCCCCCCCUCUGCUCGCUUCUAACCCCGACCUCCUGCACAGCCCAUCCAUCCCACCCGGCGACGCUUUCCUGCCAUCCUCUUCCGCCGCUUCUGUCCACUCUAACACCGCUUUGUCUAUCAAGCUCGCUUCCCUGCAGCACAAAGCCUCCCGCCCCUCCUUUACCGUCCACCACCCCCCCCUGCCCCGCUCGGCGCUGGCACAGUCCGUGCCCCCGAUGGCGCAGCCCACGGCCGCCGGCGCGCCCGCCAUGUGGGUCACGCUUGGCAUGCAGCCUCCUUCCGCUUCGCACCUUUCUGGGGUUAAGCCGCGAUAAAGAGCUUGCUUAGCUAACGGUUCUUAUGUUGUAAGGUAAGGCUAGAGACGAACCCCAGGAGUGGUGUGCGAGAUGCUGAGUGAUGCUUCUUCCUCUGCAGAGAGGGGUGGGCACGGGCUGUGAAACAGAAACCUCUGAAAUGUGGGGUAAUGCGGUGGCAGAGGGCAGAGAGCUCCGUGCUGCCUGGCCUGGGAGUCAGGAUUUCUCGACAAGGAGUGCUGACUCUGCUGUCUCAUUGACACUGGGGUUACGUUCAGGUCGGGAUCGCUCCUUGCAGGCGUUUACUUCUGAGAAUCAGCAGUCAGGAGGAGUGUCUUUCUAUGUUAUGGUUUUUAUACGAGUAUCAGCAGUGGUUCCCCUCCAGCACAGGGCAGGGAAGUGGAAGUGGAUGAUCUUUAAGGUCCCCUGCAACCUAAGCCAUCCUAUGAUUCUAAUGCAGACAUUGCUCCUUCCACAAGUCUGUGCUCCCGUGGCGCUGGGGUGCGUGAUGCUGCUCCCAACCUCAGCCAACAACAGCUGCUCAAUAACCAGAAAGUUCCAAACCCUCCAGGUCCCAAGCUGCAGCUUCAGAUUGCAAAUGCACUGCUGGUGCACUGCAGUCAGCACACCCUCUGCAUCCCUGAGAAACAGCCACGGGUAGCAAAGAAGGGUUAGAAUUUGCAGCAGAGAAGAGGAAACCAAGAAGGCAAGCUGAGCACUGCAGCUCAGUACGCACACAGUGACAGUCUCCAUCAGUGCUUUGUUAUAGAAUCAUAGAAUUGCUCACUUGGCGAUUGCUCACUCCCUGCGUAGACUGUAGGGAAUGUGCAGGGUUAGCAGCUCCGUGCUGGGGCUGUAGGAGAGAGGAGGGUCUCUGGAGGCUGUAUGCAUUUCUACUGAAGCACUGUUUAAAUGCCUUUAGAAUAAAGCGCACCGGCACGGAGUUGGGCACUGUUAUGAAAAAUGCUCUGUGGCAUCGUGAUGUAACAGCUCGGGAUUGCAGAGCUCCAGCAGUGUGAGGGCCCUGAGCUCGCUCCGUGCUUCUGCUGUAGGCCGUUGAUGUUGUUGCUGUUCACUGAUCCCAAAGCUGCGUUAAAAUGGAUGGUUGAAUACUCUUUGCUUAUAAAACAUAUGCCUCAAUUACAACAUCCCUGAGAGAUUCUUUUGGCUGUGC